rnacentral:rRNA from 1 species
GACGAACGCUGGCGGCGUGCUUAACACAUGCAAGUCGAACGGAAAGGCCCUGCGCUUGUGGGGUUCUCGAGUGGCGAACGGGGGAGUAACACGUGAGGAGCCUGUCCCUGACUUUGGGAUAACUUCAGGAAACUGGGGCUAAUACCGGAGAGGAGCUCCUGCUGCAUGGGGGGGGUUGGAAAGAUUCGGCGGUUGGGGAUGGACUCGCGGCUUAUCAGCUUGUUGGUGGGGUAGUGGCUGACCAAGGGUUUGACGGGUAGCCGGCCUGAGAGGGUGACCGGCGACAUUGGGCCUGCGAUACGCCCCAGUCUCCUACGGGCGGCAGUGGUCGGGAAUAUUGCACAAUGGGCGGAAGUCUGAUGCAGAGACGCUGCGUGCGUAAUGCCGGCCUUCUGGUUGUAAACCGAUUUCGACUGUGACGAAGCGUGCGUGACGGUAAUGAGUAAAAAAGCACCGGCUAACUACGUG